rnacentral:lncRNA from 7 species
CCCGGAGCUAGCAGCAGCCUAGCAAGGUAGCGGUGCAUCGUGAGUUCGUGACACGCAUAGACACAGUGGACAGUGUGCUUCCAUACCUGCCGGACGCAGUGUUUCCGACCGAGCUCGUUGUGGAGGCGGUAGCGGACGCACUGGUGACAAUACUCUGAGUAGUUUACAUUGCAUUAUUGUAUAGUAUUGUAUAAUGGGCAAAACCUUUUUUGGCGCCUAUCGGGUGUCACGUAGCUGUACGAAUCCUGGGUCCAAACAAAAAAGAAAGCAGCAAGGAAGCGCCAAAGGGCCCAGCCCAAUCAUGCCAAUUUGAACCCGCAGCCAUCCAUCCCCUCCCCCCCGGGGCAGCAAGCAGCAGCACGCAACCGGGUCCGGUCCGGUCCACGGAGGGAAAUCCAUGGGAUUCCGCACCGCACCGCACCGCCUCUUUCUUUCGCCCCGCCCCGCUUUUC